ACGUGGCAUGCGAUAUCUGGCCUGGGCGGGGAGAAAGUUAGAGCUUCCCUGCGGAAAAGAAAGCAUACGGACUGCUGUCGUUCUGUUCGUGAUAGUAAACAAUCUCACGGGCUCGUAUUGUAACUGGAGAAAAUCGGCUUUGACGUGCCAUGUUCAGUCUGUCAAUGCAGAUCAAACAUUUACCACUGAUUAACUCAAAUAACUGUGUAAGAACUGGUCUUAUUUAGUUAAAUUGUUUAAAUUCUUGAUACGUGACAGGAGUCGAGAGACCAGAGGAGCCUGGUAAUGAGGAUACGGCUGAGGUCUCUCCAGUGGUGAAAGGGAGCACAGCGCUCACUGUAACUCAAACAAUCGCACAGCCCACGUCCAAGCCCUGAGAAGUCAUGUUCAUCUCAUCUCCUGUGCUAACAGCACACAUCUACAUGCUGCACUCUGUCAAUAAAGCCUUAGUGAAAAAUAA